UGGGGAAUUUUGCACAAUGGACGCAAGUCUGAUGCAGCGACGCCGCGUGAGGGAUGUAGGCCUUCGGGUUGUGAACCUCUUUCGCUCAUGGUCAAGCCGCAGCUUUGGGUUGUGGUGAGGGUAGUGGGUAAAGAAGCGCCGGCUAACUACGUGCCAGCAGCCGCGGUAAUACGUAGGGCGCGAGCGUUGUCCGGAAUUAUUGGGCGUAAAGGGCUUGUAGGCGGUUGGUCGCGUCUGCCGUGAAAUCCUCUGGCUUAACUGGGGGCGUGCGGUGGGUACGGGCUGGCUUGAGUGCGGUAGGGGAGACUGGAAUUCCUGGUGUAGCGGUGGAAUGCGCAGAUAUCAGGAGGAACACCGGUGGCGAAGGCGGGUCUCUGGGCCGUUACUGACGCUGAGGAGCGAAAGCGUGGGGAGCGAACAGGAUUAGAUACCCUGGUAGUCCACGCUGUAAACGUUGGGCACUAGGUGUGGGGGCCACCCGUGGUUUCUGCGCCGUAGCUAACGCUUUAAGUGCCCCGCCUGGGGAGUACGGCCGCAAGGCUA
rnacentral:rRNA from 1 species